UGGGAUCUGGCGUGCUGAGGUCUGGUGCAGUCCAGGAUUUCCCACUCACACCAUCUCUCUUAUUCUAAGUGGCUGAAUCUGAGUUGUGAAGAAGGUUGCUUCUGGAUAAAUGCCAGAUGCUCUGGUUCAUUGAGGAAGCCAAAUAAUACACAUGAACAUCUUAGCCAAUCUGUUCCCCCUUCACAACCCUCUUUGAGUGCACUUGCAGCUCUGGGACCCUCUGAUGGCUUCAGAGAAAGGAUUUCUGAGAAACAAACCAAGAGCCAGGUUUCCAAGGUCAAAAGCCACGUUCUGAGACCAUCAGUGUGUAAAGUAUAAAAAAUGGGAAGUUUUAAUGAAUUGCCAGUCUGCCUUAAUCCAUUUCAGAUACAGAUGUAAGGACACCUGUAUUUAGAGACAUUGCAUGGAAAUUCAGGAACAGAAGUCCUAAGAGGGUCAGACCUCAUGGAGAGAUUUCUGGAGGUUAAUUUUGCAUUAAUGAGGACUUUAGAACUCACAGCAGCAGAAUUUCAUGAAUUUCCUUCUCAAGUCAUCUUGUUGUUAGUGUAGAGGCUGGACAAACUGUUAAAGGGAAAAGAAGAUACUGAAGUCCUAUACGCCAACAAGCACACAUCAUUAAUCACCACAUAAUCUCUAAUUAGAAGGAAAAACCCCAUGUGGCUUGUUAAAGUGGGCUUAUGACCACUUGGGAUAAAGCCUAGAUUUCCAGGCUCCUUGGGAGUUGGGUGUAGAUAUGUAAUUAAGUUGUGGUCAGUGAAAGUAAAUGGCAGAGAUCAGCACACUUCUGGGAAGAGUCCUUAAAGAGGACCUUCUACUUCUUCCUUCUUGGCUUAGUGUAUGUGGAGACCAUGUUGGUAAGUAUGGUGGGGCAAUGAGAGAGAGAAUCCUGUCCCCAGUGCUUAGCCCUGCACUGUCAACAUUUAUAUUAGAGGGGAAAAAAAAUGCUACUUGUUUCUAAACAACGGUUACUUUGGAUUUUCUAUUGCAAUCACACUUAAUAAGGCAUUUGCAAAUGUUCUAUACAUCCUUCUGCAUUAUGUAUUCAGUUUCUUAAAAACUCUAGCACUACUAUAAAGUACCAAGACUCUUACCAGUACUUCUUAGAAAUAUCUGAUGAGAAUUUUCUUUUAAAUGGUAAAUUCCUGGUAAAAAGUAGACACUAAAAAUAUCUAUCUCUGGAAAGAAUGUGUGCGUGAAACCAUGAACCCAACUAUCAAUUACUUAAUUACUUGAAGCCUAGUUUAGAGAGGAAUUUCCUAAAAAGGACAUCCUAAAUCUAUAUUUACUGGCUAUACCCUUAAUUUCCUAGUCCUUGGGCUGGUCAUGUUGGUAUAGUUCUUUACUUUGUACUUACAGUUCUGGGAACUUUAAUAACCAAAGAAUAGUAGGUUGAGGAGACUAGAUUGGGAUUAAUCUUGACUCUUCUACCAUGGAGUCCUUCUCUAUAGGAGUUACCAUCUCCAAACCUGCUCCCUCCUCUGGAAAAGGAAGUUUUUGGACUACAUCUUUUUCUAAAGCCGUGCUUCUCAAUUUUUAACAUGCAUAUGAACCCCCUGUGGAUAUUACUUAAAUGCAGAGUCUGAUUUAAUAAGUCUGCACAAUGGGGCCCAAGAGUCUGCAUUUCUAAUAACUCUUGGGAGAUGCUGCUGCUGGGCUGCAGAUGAGUUUCCAGGUUCUAAGAAAGCACAAUUCCCAUGCCAUGUGACUGAGCUCUUUUUAGAAGUUGUCUCUGAAUACUUUGCCUCAAACUGCCUGAUGUAUUAUUUAUUUUCUUACCACCUUCCUCUCUCCUGGGGCAUCAAGAUUGUCACUAAAGAGAAGAGUAUAAUCAGAGGCUCUGGACCUUUCAGGGAUUAAGAAAAACCCAACCUUUUCACUUCUGAGAUUGACAUUUCUUCAUCUUGAAAAAUAUUGUUAAAAUUAAUUAAAAAAAAACUGUGGUGAGUGUUAUUUAUAACUUACCACACUGUUUUAUCAUUUAAAAUAAAGAAUAAGGUUGUUCAAAUUUCAACAUGACUAGAAGAUUGAGAUUUAAUAGAACAUUCUAGGCGAUAUGAGUGAACAUGAAUUUAAAGAAGUAUUUUUUUCUCACCUCCAUAGACCUAUAUCUAUGUUGAAAUUAAUGACUUAAUGUAAAAAUAGCCUCACAAACCUAUAUUGGAAUCGUUUAUGAAUCUGAGGCCAGCACCAUAUGUUUCUAUUUUUUUCUACCAUUGAUGGACUUUCGGAGAUUAAAAAUUGGAUUCUAUACCUCAAUCAAAUCAAUUUUUCUGAGAUUUAUCUUUCCUUGCAAGUUGAGUUGCUCAAAAUAGAACCUCUCUAAAUUGCUUUUAACUCUGAGUCCAUUAUCUCAGUCUCCUUGAUUCUGUGUCUUCCUCCAAAGCAUCAAAUAAAACAUAAAUUUUAAGACCCAACUACCCAAUUGUUGGAAUAUUUGUUUUUGGAUUCUUUCAUCCAGUCACUAGAUCUUAAUAAUUCAAGUUUAUUUUAUUUUGAGGGAGGAGAGCUCACACAUAGGAGAGGCAGAGAGAGAGGGAGAGACCGAGAAUCCCAAGCAGGCUCAGCACUGUCCUUUCUCAAACUGCAGGGCUCAA